rnacentral:lncRNA from 1 species
ACAGCUAACAAGAGGCUUGAACAGAUCUACAAGGCAAAAACCAGAAAUCUUAAGAGAUAACACAAGCCCUAGCUCAUCGCCACACAGUUGCCUCGCAUCGCCUCUGCCACUAGAGAGAAAGAGGAGAGAGAAGAAAUGGGAAGAAAUGAAGCGGCGGACACGUCCACUACAAUAAAACGAAGACAAUAAAAGACACGAUUCCCUAAAUUGCAAAAAAGAAGAGGCUGACACGGAGGACCCACUCAAAGCCUAGAAGCAAACAUAU